rnacentral:lncRNA from 1 species
UCCCUAUUUUCUAGAUUACAACUAGAACUAACUAGAACUAGAACUAGAGGAACUAGAACUAGAACUAGAUGAACUAGAACUAGAUCUAGAUGAACUAGAGGUAGAACUAGAAGAACUAGAGGGAUCCUCUCUACUUGGAUGAAGAAUUGAAACCCUAACUUUGAUUUUGUAGAAGAGAUAUGCUCUCCAGGGGCCAGGGGGCCUUGCUUAUAUAGUCUUUUCAGAUGAAUCUAGGCCGUCGGAUCAAACCGACAUUAAUCGCACGGUUUUCCUUGGUCCCUUAGGUCGGUGGAGCACGAUCCGCGAAGUUGAAGCUGAUUGGUUACUGUAGCUAGGCGGGCACCCAAGGGACUUGGGCGGGCGCCCUGCCCCCGGGCCCGAUCGGCCUCCUGUUCGUUCCCGUGGCUUCUGGAGUCUUCUAGAUGGUAGAAAAUUGCAUGGCACGUUAAUCUCUCUAUGUAAACCCGACGUGUGGUCCUUUCUUCCUUAUUUCCUGAUAACCCCCAAUAGAAAUAGACAAACACCAAAACUCGUGGAAUUCUGUCAGAUAAAACCCUAAGUCUAGGUGUUGGUUGCAGUUGGAUCCUUUUCUAUGAUUAGUUGACGGUUAAAUGUGAGCAUUAAGGACUGUUAACAAGCUCCCCCAAGCUUAACCUUUGCUCGUCCCUGAGCAAAGAUGAACUCAAGAGUUUCUGCAGUGGUUUCAUGCCUUAAAUGUACACAUGCGUUCAAACAAGAUCUCAUCUCUGGGUUUGGGUAAAUUGUUAAGAUUUAAACUUACUCAUAUUACCUUUCACCAUGGGGCUUGCAACCGUCACUUGUGUCUUGAGCAGUUAAAAGAUAGAACGGUCUAGUCAAGCGCCAUGUCUCUUGUUCUUCGAUUAACUAUAGCUCUGGAGUUUUUGCAGAUUUUAAAAUAAAACUCAGAGAUUCCUUGUAUGACUCUCUCUAGUCUCUCUUUUGUGGUAUUUCUGGAUCCUUACCCAGGCAGUAAUGGUGUAUGUCUUCUCUCAAAGUAUGUGGUAUUUGUGGUAUAAGGCAUAGUGAUAUUGCCUUCUCUCUCUCACCCUACUCUAAUAAGGUUUUGAUAUCUGGAGCUCAUAGGUGGGAGACAGCUAAUACAUACUUACAAGACAUUUAUUGCAUAGUCAAACCAUGGAUCCAGAAGAACAAGCCAAUAAGUCAAAUCAAGAUGUGCAUGUGUGGCGAAUGAAUGGUGAUAAUGGUGAUGAUGGUGAUAACAAUGGUGAAAGUCUAAUUCUACUUAUGCUCCUUUGAGGGGAUACAUACCUUUCUUGCUCUUUUGAAACUUUUUGAGGAGAAUGAGAUGCUCUAUAUUUUCUUUUUCUUUUCUCUCAGGUGGGUAUCUUGUACCCCUAAUUCUACUGUCGGACACUUGUCCAUUUUUACCUCUCGUCUCACUUUUUCUUUUCUUUCGAGGUUCCGGGCAAUUGCCCCUUUUUAUUUCCUCGUAUUCACUUUUUUUCUCUCUUUUUUUAGAGCACUCAUCUCAUGAAAUAAUAUAGCAAGUGGUAGUAACCAAGAUAACUUGAGCAUUUAUUUCACACAGGAAAACAGAAAUAUUUUUGGCUAUUCUCUCCCGGAUUAUGAGUAGAAUAUUUUUAGGUGAUUCUGGAGAUGGAAAUGGGUGGAUAUAUGUGGAUGCAUACUUCCGGAGUAGAAGCAGCAUGUGUGAGUGAACGUGCAAGUGAAUCUUGAUUUAACCACAUGACAAGCUCCUAAGGGUCUACACAGCUUGACCACACUAAAUGCUCAUAAGCAGUAAAUGUAUGGUUCAUAGUCUAAUAAGCAUGUAUAUAUGGCUGUGGUAGGAUUUUAAACUCUCAUCAUACAGGAACUCAUCUUGCAACAUUUUAAAGAUUUUCAAAGAUAAAAUUCUCCAGAAUUCUAGCAUCUCUAGGAACAGAUAAACAGCAGCUCAACCUUCCCAUAUCAUAUCCGUUAACGACUUAGACUUUAGAUCAAGUACUCUUCCCACAAGUUCAGGUUUAGAGCAAAUCUUAAUUAAUAACAGUCAUGCCUAAACUUGAGAGAGAUUUCAAUUCUGAGAACUAGUCAUGGCAUAUUAGAGUAAAGUAUAAACGUGCGUAGAAUACUUAGCUGGAUAAAUGGAGGUGCUCUCCCACAAGCUGGAUUUUGACACAAUUUCUUCUGAUGUAGCUAGCAGGUGGCGGAGGUGUAUUUGAAUAUCGACAGCACCCUGACAGUGAUUAGGAUGUCCUCCGUCUACUAGUCUUCUUUGAUCCUUGAAUUUUGUGGAGCUCAAAUAGACAACAAAGCUUUGUGGAACUAGUUAAGUGUUAGCAUAAAUAUCUAGCCUUUAUCAUGUUGAGCCUCCUCAAUAAAUGUUACUCUUUUUAGUAGGAUCAUAAAUCUUUUUAUAAUUUUAUUUUUGUAGGACAGGAAUAUAUUUAUUUUAUUUUUACGCCACCAUAGUGAAUGUACUUAUGGGUUUUAUGCCAUGAGCAUACUCACAUGGGGCUUACUAUUUUUUAACAUUUUUAUUUUCUUUUUGAGAUGAUAUGAACCUGAUUAACUAAGCAAGCUAUUUUAAAUAAUUGAAAGGAAAAGGAUAACUACCAAGUUUACCUCUUGGCUAGGCAUUCGGUGGUUUUACGUCCUCCGAACGGGACUCUCCGUUUUCUCAGUCGUCCUGGGAUUCGCUGGAUGGCGUAGUCGGUGGCUCCGGCAGCACCUCCUCUUCGUGUAUAACUAUCUCCUCUCUCCACACCUAACUCGGUGCUAUGGUCUCCUCAGGACAGUUCUAUUCAAGCUAUAUGUCUUCAGACCUCACUACUUCUCCUUCGUAGUCUGUCCAUCCGUCCUUGAUAAUUUGCCUCCUCUGGUUGCGGUUGCGUUUUCUUCUUCUUGUCUUGACCUGCUUAGAGUCUUCAACUAUAUAGUUAGGGUCAGUAAAACAGCGGCGUACCUUCUCAGAGGGGAAGUGCAUGUGGACUUCUCCGGUUCCAAUGUAGAUGAUUAUUUUAACGGUGUUGAGGAACUGUCUCCCAAGGAUGAUGGGUGGAUCGUACUCGUCUUCUCCCAUGUCAAUAACUUUCAACCUUUCAGAAUGUUUGAUCUACCAUCUGAAGCUGAAUGUAUGUCGGUUCUAGGGGCAUGGUUUCGUACAGGAGCUGAUAAUUGACUGCGGCCAUUAUGUUGACGUCAGAUCUGGUGUCAUAGUGUGUCUUCUGAAAAGAAUAUCCGUUGAUUGUGCACUCGAUGCUUGGAACACCAGGGUCGUCCUUCUUGAUCAAGAAAGGCGACUUGAGUUGACGAUCUUGACCUCCUUGAGCUGCAGUGACCAUCUUAGCUGUUUUGGUCCACAUUUGCUUGUUUCUGUUCCUCCUGUUGAUCCUCUUCCUUGGUUCAUGUCGGGAUUGCUUUGAGAUUUGUGUAGUCUUGUUCUUGAAGGAAAACGUCUUCUUCCUCCCUUUGAUGUAGAAUAUGAUCUUGGCAGCACUAGCGUAGAUGACAGCUCCCGAGGUGUUCAGGAAUGGCCUCCCUAGGAUGAAGGGUGCCCCCUCAUCAGAACCGGUCUCUAUCACCACGAAGUCUGCUGGGGCGUAUAAGGUACCAACUCGGACGCAGAGGUUCUUCAAUAUUCCCUUUGGGAAACUUAGUGUCUGAUUUGCAGGCUGCAAGCACACGGUUGUUUCUAGUAAAGGAUGUGUAAAGAAUUUUUUUCAUAGAGUACCCUGGGCAUAAUGUUGACGCUGGAGCCUAAGUCGCAGAGUGCUUCUAGGAAGUUCAAUAUGCCGAUGGAGAUCGGGAUGACGGUGCGUCCUGGAUUGUCUCCCUUGACUGGCAGAAGGUCAGUAAUUACUUCCACAACGGGGUUACUCCAGUAGUUACGUCCUCAAGCAUCUUAGGGCAGUGAUUGCCUGAGUGUCUAGUAUCUCCAGUGUGUUUGUGCUCGUAGAUCUAGGUUCUUCACUUGGUGGAGUCUGGGAAUUGUAAAAUUUCUUCAUAUUUUGCUCGAAGUGUACCUGCUCAUAGAGACAAGGCAGAGAUCAAGUGCAUGGGCCCUGUUGGUGGAAAACACCAACAGAACCAAAAGUGUAUUUGUUCUUCUCUAACCUUAAGCAUAGUGAGCAAGACAAAGUUGAUGGAUAAUAAGAUCAUGAGUAUAACAUUUAAAACAUUUGUCAGAUCAAAUCGCUCAACCUAAUGGAAAGAUAAUUUGUCUAUAUUUAUGUUGUUUUUUUUAUAAAAUAUAUCUUCCAAAGAUUGAGUGUGCAACAUUUUAUCUCAUAUGAUUAGGAGUGUGGGAUCACAAAGGUGGAAGGACUAAACAUAUUGAAUCAAUUGGGUUGAUUAAUCUAGAGUUGUAUAUCAUACAUGUUUGUCUCUUUUAUUCAUGUGAACGCCAGAACCAAGGAGAAGCUUAUAAAAGUGAUUGUUAAGUACCUUA